GGUGACCCGCUUUCACACAGGUAUGCUGUAGCAAGGAUCACUUUGAGGGCAGUCCCACUUCAGAUCCUUUUUCCGGCAUUAGGUUUGGUCCU
rnacentral:pre_miRNA from 2 species